CGAACGCUGGCGGCAGGCUUAACACAUGCAAGUCGAACGGGUGUAGCAAUACAUCAGUGGCAGACGGGUGAGUAACACGUGGGAACCUUCCUAGGGGUACGGAACAACUCAGGGAAACUUGAGCUAAUACCGUAUACGUCCGUGAGGGGAAAGAUUUAUCGCCCUUAGACGGGCCCGCGUCGGAUUAGCUAGUUGGUGGGGUAACGGCCUACCAAGGCGACGAUCCGUAGCUGAUCUUAGAGGAUGAUCAGCCACACUGGGACUGAGACACGGCCCAGACUCCUACGGGAGGCAGCAGUGGGGAAUCUUGGACAAUGGGCGCAAGCCUGAUCCAGCCAUGCCGCGUGAGUGAAGAAGGUCUUCGGAUUGUAAAGCUCUUUUGCCAGGGACGAUAAUGACGGUACCUGGAGAAUAAGCCCCGGCAAACUUCGUGCCAGCAG
rnacentral:rRNA from 1 species